rnacentral:rRNA from 1 species
CCUACGGGCGGCUGCAGUGGGGAAUAUUGCACAAUGGGCGCAAGCCUGAUGCAGCCAUGCCGCGUGUGUGAAGAAGGCCUUCGGGUUGUAAAGCACUUUCAGCGGGGAGGAAGGCGUUAAGGUUAAUAACCUUGGCGAUUGACGUUACCCGCAGAAGAAGCACCGGCUAACUCCGUGCCAGCAGCCGCGGUAAUACGGAGGGUGCAAGCGUUAAUCGGAAUUACUGGGCGUAAAGCGCACGCAGGCGGUCUGUCAAGUCGGAUGUGAAAUCCCCGGGCUCAACCUGGGAACUGCACUCGAAACUGGCAGGCUAGAGUCUUGUAGAGGGGGGUAGAAUUCCAGGUGUAGCGGUGAAAUGCGUAGAGAUCUGGAGGAAUACCGGUGGCGAAGGCGGCCCCCUGGACAAAGACUGACGCUCAGGUGCGAAAGCGUGGGGAGCAAACAGGAUUAGAUACCCCGGUAGUC